GCAGUGGUGGUUCGAUGGUAGAAUUCUCGCCUUGCAUGCAGGAAACCUGGGUUUGAUUCCUAGCCAAUACA
rnacentral:tRNA from 1 species